rnacentral:rRNA from 1 species
GGGUUGUGAGGUUAAGCGACUAAGCGUACACGGUGGAUGCCCUGGCAGUCAGAGGCGAUGAAGGACGUGCUAAUCUGCGAUAAGCGUCGGUAAGGUGAUAUGAACCGUUAUAACCGGCGAUUUCCGAAUGGGGAAACCCAGUGUGUUUCGACACACUAUCAUUAACUGAAUCCAUAGGUUAAUGAGGCGAACCGGGGGAACUGAAACAUCUAAGUACCCCGAGGAAAAGAAAUCAACCGAGAUUCCCCCAGUAGCGGCGAGCGAACGGGGAGGAGCCCAGAGCCUGAAUCAGUGUGUGUGUUAGUGGAAGCGUCUGGAAAGGCGCGCGAUACAGGGUGACAGCCCCGUACACAAAAAUGCACAUGCUGUGAGCUCGAUGAGUAGGGCGGGACACGUGGUAUCCUGUCUGAAUAUGGGGGGACCAUCCUCCAAGGCUAAAUACUCCUGACUGACCGAUAGUGAACCAGUACCGUGAGGGAAAGGCGAAAAGAACCCCGGCGAGGGGAGUGAAAAAGAACCUGAAACCGUGUACGUACAAGCAGUGGGAGCCUCUUUUAUGGGGUGACUGCGUACCUUUUGUAUAAUGGGUCAGCGACUUAUAUUCUGUAGCAAGGUUAACCGAAUAGGGGAGCCGAAGGGAAACCGAGUCUUAACUGGGCGUUAAGUUGCAGGGUAUAGACCCGAAACCCGGUGAUCUAGCCAUGGGCAGGUUGAAGGUUGGGUAACACUAACUGGAGGACCGAACCGACUAAUGUUGAAAAAUUAGCGGAUGACUUGUGGCUGGGGGUGAAAGGCCAAUCAAACCGGGAGAUAGCUGGUUCUCCCCGAAAGCUAUUUAGGUAGCGCCUCGUGAAUUCAUCUCCGGGGGUAGAGCACUGUUUCGGCAAGGGGGUCAUCCCGACUUACCAACCCGAUGCAAACUGCGAAUACCGGAGAAUGUUAUCACGGGAGACACACGGCGGGUGCUAACGUCCGUCGUGAAGAGGGAAACAACCCAGACCGCCAGCUAAGGUCCCAAAGUCAUGGUUAAGUGGGAAACGAUGUGGGAAGGCCCAGACAGCCAGGAUGUUGGCUUAGAAGCAGCCAUCAUUUAAAGAAAGCGUAAUAGCUCACUGGUCGAGUCGGCCUGCGCGGAAGAUGUAACGGGGCUAAACCAUGCACCGAAGCUGCGGCAGCGACGCUUAUGCGUUGUUGGGUAGGGGAGCGUUCUGUAAGCCUGUGAAGGUGUGCUGUGAGGCAUGCUGGAGGUAUCAGAAGUGCGAAUGCUGACAUAAGUAACGAUAAAGCGGGUGAAAAGCCCGCUCGCCGGAAGACCAAGGGUUCCUGUCCAACGUUAAUCGGGGCAGGGUGAGUCGACCCCUAAGGCGAGGCCGAAAGGCGUAGUCGAUGGGAAACAGGUUAAUAUUCCUGUACUUGGUGUUACUGCGAAGGGGGGACGGAGAAGGCUAUGUUGGCCGGGCGACGGUUGUCCCGGUUUAAGCGUGUAGGCUGGUUUUCCAGGCAAAUCCGGAAAAUCAAGGCUGAGGCGUGAUGACGAGGCACUACGGUGCUGAAGCAACAAAUGCCCUGCUUCCAGGAAAAGCCUCUAAGCAUCAGGUAACAUCAAAUCGUACCCCAAACCGACACAGGUGGUCAGGUAGAGAAUACCAAGGCGCUUGAGAGAACUCGGGUGAAGGAACUAGGCAAAAUGGUGCCGUAACUUCGGGAGAAGGCACGCUGAUAUGUAGGUGAAGCGACUUGCUCGUGGAGCUGAAAUCAGUCGAAGAUACCAGCUGGCUGCAACUGUUUAUUAAAAACACAGCACUGUGCAAACACGAAAGUGGACGUAUACGGUGUGACGCCUGCCCGGUGCCGGAAGGUUAAUUGAUGGGGUCAGCGCAAGCGAAGCUCUUGAUCGAAGCCCCGGUAAACGGCGGCCGUAACUAUAACGGUCCUAAGGUAGCGAAAUUCCUUGUCGGGUAAGUUCCGACCUGCACGAAUGGCGUAAUGAUGGCCAGGCUGUCUCCACCCGAGACUCAGUGAAAUUGAACUCGCUGUGAAGAUGCAGUGUACCCGCGGCAAGACGGAAAGACCCCGUGAACCUUUACUAUAGCUUGACACUGAACAUUGAGCCUUGAUGUGUAGGAUAGGUGGGAGGCUUAGAAGUGUGGACGCCAGUCUGCAUGGAGCCGACCUUGAAAUACCACCCUUUAAUGUUUGAUGUUCUAACGUUGACCCGUAAUCCGGGUUGCGGACAGUGUCUGGUGGGUAGUUUGACUGGGGCGGUCUCCUCCUAAAGAGUAACGGAGGAGCACGAAGGUUGGCUAAUCCUGGUCGGACAUCAGGAGGUUAGUGCAAUGGCAUAAGCCAGCUUGACUGCGAGCGUGACGGCGCGAGCAGGUGCGAAAGCAGGUCAUAGUGAUCCGGUGGUUCUGAAUGGAAGGGCCAUCGCUCAACGGAUAAAAGGUACUCCGGGGAUAACAGGCUGAUACCGCCCAAGAGUUCAUAUCGACGGCGGUGUUUGGCACCUCGAUGUCGGCUCAUCACAUCCUGGGGCUGAAGUAGGUCCCAAGGGUAUGGCUGUUCGCCAUUUAAAGUGGUACGCGAGCUGGGUUUAGAACGUCGUGAGACAGUUCGGUCCCUAUCUGCCGUGGGCGCUGGAGAACUGAGGGGGGCUGCUCCUAGUACGAGAGGACCGGAGUGGACGCAUCACUGGUGUUCGGGUUGUCAUGCCAAUGGCACUGCCCGGUAGCUAAAUGCGGAAGAGAUAAGUGCUGAAAGCAUCUAAGCACGAAACUUGCCCCGAGAUGAGUUCUCCCUGACCCUUUAAGGGUCCUGAAGGAACGUUGAAGACGACGACGUUGAUAGGCCGGGUGUGUAAGCGCAGCGAUGCGUUGAGCUAACCGGUACUAAUGAACCGUGAGGCUUAACCUUACAACGCCGAAGCUGUU